rnacentral:rRNA from 1 species
AGGACGAACGCUGGCGGCGUGCUUAACACAUGCAAGUCGAGCGGUAAGGCCUUUCGGGGUACACGAGCGGCGAACGGGUGAGUAACACGUGGGUGAUCUGCCCUGCACUUCGGGAUAAGCCUGGGAAACUGGGUCUAAUACCGGAUAUGACCUCCUAUCGCAUGGUGGGUGGUGGAAAGAUUUAUCGGUGCAGGAUGGGCCCGCGGCCUAUCAGCUUGUUGGUGGGUAAUGGCCUACCAAGGCUUCGACGGGUAGCCGGCCUGAGAGGGUGACCGGCCACACUGGGACUGAGACACGGCCCAGACUCCUACGGGAGGCAGCAGUGGGAAUAUGGACAAGUGGGACAAAGCCUGAUCCAGCAACGCCGCGUAGGAGGGAUAGGACCGGUCCUUCGGGUUAGUAAACCCUUCGUUUCGACGGUCGUACCCGACGAACGCGAAGUA